CGAAGCCCUCGGGCUUAGUGGCGGACGGGUGAGUAACGCGUGAGAAUCUCCCUUCAGGAUGGGGACAACCGUUGGAAACGACGGCUAAUCCCCAAUGUGCCGAGAGGUGAAAGGGUUUCCGCCUGAAGAAGAGCUCGCGUCCGAUUAGUCAGUUGGUGAGGUAAGAGCUCACCAAGGCAGCGAUCGGUAGCUGGUCUGAGAGGAUGAGCAGCCACACUGGGACUGAGACACGGCCCAGACUCCUACGGGAGGCAGCAGUGGGGAAUUUUCCGCAAUGGGCGAAAGCCUGACGGAGCAACGCCGCGUGUGGGAAGAAGGCUCUUGGGCUGUCAACCACUUUUCUCAGGGAAGAAGACCUGACGGUACCUGAGGAAUCAGCCUCGGCUAACUCCGUGCCAUCAGCCGCGGUAAUACGGAAGAGGCAAGCGUUAUCCGGAAUUAUUGGGCGUAAAGCGUCCGCAGGGGCGCAUCAAGUCUGCUGUUAAAGGCUGGAGCUUAACUCCGGUAGAGCAGUGGAAACUGGUGCGCUAGAGGGCGACAGGGGUAGAGGGAAUUCCCAGUGUAACGGUGAAAUGCGUAGAGAUUGGGAAGAACACCGGUGGCGAAAGCGCUCUACUGGGUCGCACCUGACCCUCAGGGACAAAAGCUAAGGUAACGAAAGGGAAU
rnacentral:rRNA from 1 species